rnacentral:rRNA from 1 species
GACAGAGGGUGCAAACGUUGUUCGGAAUUACUGGGCGUAAAGCGAGUGUAGGCGGUUUGAUAAGUCGGGUGUGAAAGCCCUGGGCUCAACCCAGGAAGUGCACUCGAUACUGUCAGGCUAGAGUAUCGGAGAGGUUGGUGGAAUUCUCGGUGUAGAGGUGAAAUUCGUAGAUAUCGAGAGGAACACCGGUGGCGAAGGCGGCCAACUGGACGAAUACUGACGCUGAGACUCGAAAGCGUGGGGAGCAAACAGG